rnacentral:rRNA from 1 species
UGCGCAGGCGGUUAUAUAAGACAGAUGUGAAAUCCCCGGGCUCAACCUGGGAACUGCAUUUGUGACUGUAUAGCUAGAGUGCGGCAGAGGGGGAUGGAAUUCCGCGUGUAGCAGUGAAAUGCGUAGAUAUGCGGAGGAACACCGAUGGCGAAGGCAAUCCCCUGGGCCUGCACUGACGCUCAUGCACGAAAGCGUGGGGAGCAAACA